AUUGAACGCUGGCGGCAUGCCUUACACAUGCAAGUCGAACGGCAGCGGGCCUUCGGGUGCCGGCGAGUGGCGAACGGGUGAGUAAUGCAUCGGAACGUGCCAUUGAGUGGGGGAUAACGUAGCGAAAGUUGCGCUAAUACCGCAUAUUCUGUGAGCAGGAAAGCAGGGGACCGCAAGGCCUUGCGCUCUUUGAGCGGCCGAUGUCAGAUUAGCUAGUUGGUGAGGUAAAGGCUUACCAAGGCGACGAUCUGUAGCGGGUCUGAGAGGAUGAUCCGCCACACUGGUACUGAGACACGGACCAGACUCCUACGGGAGGCAGCAGUGAGGAAUAUUGGUCAAUGGGCGGAAGCCUGAACCAGCCAUGUCGCGUGAAGGAAGAAGGUCUUACGGAUUGUAAACUUCUUUAGCAGGGGAAUAAAAGACGAUACGAGUUAUCGUGUUGAAAGUACUUUGACGAAAAAGGAUCGGCUAACUCCGUGCCAGCAGCCC
rnacentral:rRNA from 1 species